rnacentral:lncRNA from 1 species
UUGUAUUUCUGGUUGACUCUUAUUUAUGAUUUAGGUUUAGAUAUUUUGCCCGAUUUGAUGGUUGAUGGCAGCUUGGAUAACAUUCCACCCAUGGCUUAUCUCUUCCUUUGUGCAUAAAACGACUGCAGUGUUGUUUGCAGAGUUUAUUUACAUCCAUGUUCACCUUUAGUCUUUGUGUUUGUGUUCUCUUACUUUAUGUUCUGCUUACUUCUCUGACUUUCCUUGUGAAUAUGUGUUCUGUUCCUUUCAUUAUUAUUGAUAUGAGUAUAUAAUGCUUUAAAAUCUUCAGAAACUUCUAUAGUUACAGAUUCUCAUGUUUUCUUUUAAUAUCAUCAGAAUCACCAGUGUUAAGUUUUCAUCAAAUUCUAAACUAAAUCAUGGAGAACUGGGAAGAUGGCUUGGUGAUUGAAAACACUUGCUACUACAUUUCCUGAGGUUUGGAGUUUGGAUCCCAGCAAUAACUGUUCGAGAACCCUGCUAUUAAGCGAUCUCUGGAAAUCCUUCCAUCAUACUCACAGCCCUCCAAACCCUGCUCAUCACUUCUGCUCCCUUUGUCCUCGAGGACCCGUGGCCAGUGACCCUUGAGGAGAAGGGAGAACCCCAAACCACAGUGGGAUGCUAAGAACCACCUGUAACUCCAGCUCCAGUUAAUCCAAUACCUGGCCUCCAUGGGCACAUGGAUGGUACACAUACAUUGGUGAGGCUCUCUGCCUUUAUCAGAGAAGCAUGUUUAUCAGUGAGUGACAGUGAAAACAGAUAUUCCAUAACUUGCCAGAGUGCUAAGAUCAAAGGAGUGCUAAGCCCUAAAUAGGACAUCUGUAUCACGUACUCAGAGACCCAGGAAACAUUGCCAAAGAAGGGCUAAAAAGGCUUUAAGAGCUGAAGGAUGGGGAGUAGGACUCUACAAAGCUGUCGUCUGGAUAUGGAGUUAAGGAACACAAAGCUGCUGUGGACACAAGCAGAAGACCUGACUAUGGAAACAGAAGACAUCCAAGUAGGAGGGACACUAGUUUGGAAGAACCAGCUCAGUAGGGAUGGGAAGGACAAAAGAAGGCUUUAAUGAGCAAGAGCAUAUUCUGUGGCUGUUCCCAGGGCCCUGGACCAAAUGUGACUCUGCUUUUGUACUGAAUCCCAGGGGAGACUCUGGAGCUUGAGUGCUGGACAGUUUCACUGUCUGUCACCUUGCCUCCCCUCUGGACUCAUUGCUGGAUUAAUU